GGGCACUGCAUGCUGAACAUAUCAAUUUUGCAAUUGUGGUUAUUAUUUAUCCAUAAAUUGAGUGUGGAUAAAGGGAAUGAUCACAUUUAUGGAUUUUUGGAACCCGAGUUAAUCCAAAAAAUUGGGAACAAGACAGAAGAAAUUCAAGCUUACAUCCAAAAUUGGAUGUCUGAAUCAAAUAAAAAAGUUUACUUAGUUCCUUACUUUUCUAAUGCUCAUUGGCAACUUCUGAUUAUUUGUCCUAUGGACAAUAUAUCUGUAUGCAUUUGUUCGAUGCACAA